rnacentral:rRNA from 1 species
AUUGAACGCUGGCGGUAUGCUUUACACAUGCAAGUCGAACGGUAGAGGGGCAACCCUUGAGAGUGGCGAACGGGUGAGUAAUACAUCGGAACGUGCCCAGUCGUGGGGGAUAACGUAGCGAAAGCUACGCUAAUACCGCAUACGACCUGAGGGUGAAAGCGGGGGACCUGCAAGGGCCUCGCGCGAUUGGAGCGGCCGAUGGCAGAUUAGGUAGUUGGUGAGGUAAAGGCUAACCAAGCCGACGAUCUGUAGCUGGUCUGAGAGGACGACCAGCAACACUGGGACUGAGACACGGCCCAGACUCCUACGGGAUGCAGCAGUGGGGAAUUUUGGACAAUGGGCGCAAGCCUGAUCCAGCCAUACCGCGUGCAGGAAGAAGGCCUUCGGGUUGUAAACUGCUUUUGUCAGGGAAGAAAUCUUCUGGGCUAAUACCCUGGGAGGAUGACGGUACCUGAAGAAUAAGCACCGGCUAACUACGUGCCAGCAGCCGCCGUAAGAC